rnacentral:sRNA from 1 species
GGCAACUCCAUCUUAAUUCAAUUUUUGUAUGUAAAUUUAAGAAAAAUAUUUGCUGCGCAAAAAAGUGGGGGACCAGGCCCCCUGAUGCUACGUGACUGCGGUUUGAAGUUGUAUUUUCAUGAUCAGUGCCAGACAUAUAGGUAUUUCUGAUCUGAUAAUUCACUGAUGACGUUCGUGGUAUAUUGGAGAAUAAUAUCUGCGGCAUCUCUUUGAUCUCGGCAAUAACUGUAGUAGAAUUUGUGAUGAUACAUGAUCUCUUCAAUUUUGUUUUCUAAUUAACACAAGAAGAAGUUGACAGCAUUGAUCUAUGAUAUUGAAAUACAGUUGUACUCAUUGCAUUAUAUGAUUUAUUCUUUUCACUCUAACGUCUUUGAAAUAAAAAAGAGAUUCAU